rnacentral:rRNA from 1 species
GACGAACGCUGGCGGCGUGCUUAACACAUGCAAGUCGAACGAAGCUUGAUUACUGAUUCUUCGGGUGAAGUAUGAUAUGACUGAGUGACGGACGGGUUAGUAACGCGUGGGUAACCUGCCCUUCAGAGGGGGCUAGCGUUUGUAAACGAACGGUAAUACCGCAUAAUGUAUUGUGACCGCAUGAUCGAAAUGCCAAAGAUUGAUCGCUGAAGGAUGGACUUGAGGUUGGUUAGGUGGUUGGGGGGGGAACUGCCAACCAAGCGGACGAUGAGGAGCCUGACUGGGAGGCUGGCCGGACAGGUAGGGACUGACAGCCGGCCCAGACUCCUACGGGAGGCAGCAGUGAGGAAGAUUGAUCAAUGGGAGCAAGACGGAUGAAGCAACGCCGCGUGAUGAAAGACGGUGUUUGGAAUGUCACCUUCUGUUCUUAGUGAGGAAUAAUGACGGUAGCUAAGGAGCAAGCAACGGCUAACUACGUG